GGAAAUUGUGGAUUUCCUCUUGCCUGAAUACCAGAAAAUAGGUUAUGCAUAAGUGAGCACAAAUCAUAAUAGAAAUGUUGACCAUAACCUAGUGCAAAAAAGAAGCAUUAGAAAGCAACUGAGAUUUUGCACCUUGUAUAUCACAAAUUCAAGAUUCAAGUGAGUUUUGGAUUAACUAAGCUACAUUUGAGUAAUUUUAAAGUUCUUCACACUUAUGCCUGGACAAACAUAUGGCAUAGUUAACUAUAAACUAUACAUCUUAAGUUAAAUCUAAAAUAUCCAUCACCU
rnacentral:misc_RNA from 1 species